GCCGAAGUGGCGGAAUGGCAGACGCGUCGGAUUCAAAAUCCGAUGCCCGCAAGGGUGUGUGGGUUCGAGUCCCACCUUCGGUA
rnacentral:tRNA from 1 species